rnacentral:misc_RNA from 1 species
AAGUCGUAACAAGGUCUCCGUAGGUGAACCUGCGGAGGGAUCAUUAACACGUUUAUUUCACUAUAAACGUAUCUAUACCAAACAAAUAGAAACAAAAGUAGAGAUGGAAAUAGGAUAGUCAAAUAUCAUACUACAUCAAUACUUAGUUACUCUCCCUAUCUAUACUAAAUUCAUUUAGUGUAGUUAGGCUAUUUUCCAAUUAUUAACCCCUUUCCAACAAUGUCAUACUAAUCCAUGUCUUAUAUGUGAGUACUAUCAUAUUACUCUUACAUUGAUAUUUUAAUGUUAAAAGCACAACUCUUAGCAACGGAUAUCUUGGUUCUC